GUGGAACUGAAAGCCUUGGUUCCCAGGAGCUCAAGCCCACUGGGACCAACAACAGAACGAAGGGAGUUUGCCUACAAUUUAUGACAAGCAGGCAGCCCAUCUCCAUGGCCUGAGCUGCAUAAUAAGCAGGAAGAUGAAGCAAAAGGGUUGGCCCUCCAGUGUCAGAGAAGAUGAACAAAGCUUAUUAAUGCAUGGUAAUACCAGCGUGAUAUCAGAACAGCUUCCCCCAGCAACAACCCAGUUCUCUCACUGUGAUGAAGUGCUCUGCCUUCUGCCUCAGACUUUAGCCACUUGGGAUCUGCAUUAUUGCCUUGUAAAAUUGAUGGGCAGUGGCACAAUCUCCUAGUUUAAGGAAUUUCUGUUAGCAUUAGCAAAAUGCAAUGGCUUUGCAAUUUCUAAGGGCAUUCCUUGCAAUAGGAAAGUGAAUAAAAAUUGGGCCAGACUGGAACAAUGCCCAUCUCUAAUCCCUGUGGCUCCCCUGCUCAGUCUCCUCCAUGUCAUCAGCAGCAGGUGUGAGCUCAGGUCUCCCAAGGUGGGCAAGUCUUAUUUAUACUUAACCUGAAUGGGGCAAGAGGGGGGAUGUUCAUCUUAGUGGGUCUUUUUCUUUGAUCCCCUGAGGAGGUUAUUCAAGAUCAGAGUCUCUUUUCCUUCCAAACUGCUUGGAGAUGUUUCCCAAUUUUUAAAAUCCAACCUGCUCAAUAGUCUUGUGUCUUAAAAACUAUGCUUCUUUAGAAAGGUGACAGGCAGUGGCAGCUGGAUCUUUCUGGUAGCCAAGUGCUCUGGGGAGAGGAGGGUUGAGAAUGAAUCUGAGCUUUUCCUUCUAAGUCUUUGGAUUUUGAGUAGCCCAAGAUGGCUCUCUUCACCACCAUGUUCUGAAGCAGGGGUGACUAUUUCUCUUCCUGAGGUUGGGGAGCUGAGUAUCACAGUUAGGCAACGGUGGGCCAUGCGCUGGUGAAAUGGAUCAAACAUACAGGCCACGAGGGAAAGCAGGAACAGGCCACAGACAGUCAGACCCAAGGCACAUGCUAUUUUCUGCCUUACUGAAAAGAUGAAACAUAGCUGUAUCCUGGCCGCUUCAACUGGCGGGAAAUGAAAAGUACAGAAAACCCAUCUACAAGAAGUAAAAUCAACAAGCACAAAGGGAGACAGAGGAAAGCUCUGGAGAAGCACUUAUAAAAAUGCACCUUAAAUUGGAUACUUGAUUCAUCCUUUCUCAAAGUUUAAAGAGCCCUCCUUGAUGUGAGCACAAGGGACCUCCAUGCUCCUACUUCUGCUGGUCUCCAUUUCACCAGGCGCCUCCCUCCGACUUCCAAUUGGCCACAAGCUUCGUCGCUCUCUCUCAAAGCAAUUUUGUGUGUGAGUAUAGUCAGAAGGAAUUGGUACACCCUUAGGGGUUCAGACAGCACCAAGGCUUCAGAGCUGCACUUUCUAGGGCAAGACAAAAAUGUGUAUCACAGAAAAAUAACGAUUUAUCAUUGUAACAGUUACAUCCCACUACGGAAACCACCAGAGACUGCUUAACAUUUUUAUUUCAAACACGGUUUUCCCUAGUUUUCAGGUGACAAACGGAGACAGAUGCCAGAAGGUGUUUUUCCAUUUGUUCCUAAUAAAAAUGGCUAAAUUCUGAGUUCAUUGUCAUCUGGGGUGACAUUAAGACUGUGCUUUAGGCCGGGGACGGUGGCUCACGCCUGUAAUCCCAGCACUUUGGGAGGCCGAGGUGGGCAGAUCACGAGGUCAGGAGAUUGAGACCACCCUGGCAAACACAGUGAAACCCCGUCUCUACUAAAAUACAAAAAAUUAGCUGGGUGUGGUGGCGGGCACCUGUAGUCCCCAGAGUAGUGAGCAGAGAUCAUGCCACUACACUCCAGCCUGGGCGACAGAGCGAGACUCCGUCAAAAAAAAAAAAAAAGACUGUGCUUUAACAGACUGAUCCUUCUCUUCCUUCCUAUGCAUUCUUCCUUCAAAAGGCUCCAAAGGCAACAUCUGGGUCUGGUCACUGAAGACAGAUGGGCUCCUUCUACUUCUUCUCCCAUCCCCUGGAGGCCUCUGCCAGAGGGUAACAUGCUAUUUGAAUGUAAUGAUACGCUGGUGAAAUUUUACUGGCUAGUGUUAUGUUUAGUGCAUCCUUAUCUUUAGGACCCGUUCUGUACAGACCUCCUCAUUACAGAUGGAUUUCUCGAUUUCAAAACAUUCCUGGGCUUUCUAAAUGCUGUCAUUGAACUAAUUCUUAUGAUUUUUCUUCCAUUACUUUCUUUAUACUUCCAAGUCCUCUUUAUCUGACAUUGAACCUGAAGCCAGUUUCCUGAAAAUAAUCACUUGUGCUACUGUGGUUAUGAACCAAUAAAAGGUUCAGGGUUGAUUUGGAUUUAUUUUGUACUGUGCCAUCAUCAAAUCCUUGAUAUUUUCUCCGGGUGUGAAGACCUCAUACACUCAGACUUAACCUGUUUCAUUUUCCUCUUUUUCUUCCCUUUAAGGAACAAGGUCGAAAAUGUUCUACUUUGGUUAUAAGAACUAAGGUUUUCCUAGAGUAGUGAUUAGCAGUAAUAAAAAGGUUUUAUUAAACAUUAACAAAGAGCCAGAUGCAAAGGCAAGAGCUUUGGAGC
rnacentral:lncRNA from 10 species